rnacentral:rRNA from 1 species
AAUUUUGGACAAUGGGGGAAACCCUGAUCCAGCCAUCCCGCGUGUAUGAUGAAGGCCUUCGGGUUGUAAAGUACUUUUGGCAGAGAAGAAAAGGUACCUCCUAAUACGAGGUACUGCUGACAGGAUCUGCAGAAUAAGCACCGGCUAACUACGUGCCAGCAGCCGCGGUAAUACGUAGGGUGCAAGCGUUAACCGGAAUUACUGGGCGUAAAGGGUGUGUAGGCGGUUCGGAAAGAAAGAUGUGAAAUCCCAGGGCUCAACCUUGGAACUGCAUUUUUAACUGCCGGGCUAGAGUAUGUCAGAGGGGGGUAGAAUUCCACGUGUAGCAGUGAGAUGCGUAGAUAUGUGGAGGAAUACCGAUGGCGAAGGCAGCCCCCUGGGAUAAUACCGACGCUCAGACACGAAAGCGUGAGGAGCAAGC